rnacentral:lncRNA from 1 species
ACAUAUAUUCAAUUAAACAACCUUGAUUAGCAUUCAUUAUAACCAAAUUUAACAAAACAUUAUCAGAACUAAUCCUGCAAAAACACUUUACUCUUUCAGCUAAACUAUGGCUAUCUGUUGCUUGCCCCCUAGCUGCUCGGACAUGAACAUAUGGAAGCUUCUCUGAGGUAUCAUUUGCUGAUUUUUUGCUCUUUUUGCUACUGCUUUCUUUCCCCUGAAUUCCACAUAAUUCAUUCAUCAAAACACAGACUUCGUAUAUAUCAAAUCAUAAUUCAUUUAGAAUUUAAACUUGAACACUACCAUUCUUUGUGAUAAACCAAUAAUGUAUCAUAAUGAAGUAGUUAUAUAGAGGUGAAAUUACAUGCUAACUUAGGCGUUUGGACAUAAGAAUUGUGAAAUUCUGGAAACAAGUGGGAAAAAAAAAUCAAGUGAAACUAGUAUUUGAAAAUUAGAGUUGUGUCUGGACAUCAAUAUUAUUUAGAGCUGUUUUUGAGUUUUUGAGUGAUUUGAAGUGAAUUUUGAAAAAUAAUUUUUUGGAGUUUUUCAAAUUUCCAAAAAAAUUUGGAAUAGUUUUUCAAUUUGAAUUUCUUUUGCCCAAACAAAAAAAGUGAAAAAAAUUGUAUGGCCAAACGGGCCCUAAAUUAAUUAUAAUGAAGUGAUACAAGUUCCUAUAUUAAAAAAAUAAAAAAAAUAAAAAAAAUAAAAAAACACGUCACAUAUAAUUUACCUUUUUCUGGCGUUCUUUUCGCUUUGUGGUUUUCUGAUCAAAAGUUGGAUUUGAAAAUUCGGGAGAAGAAUUAGGAUUGGAAUCAGAAUCAUCUGGUUCUUGCUUUACGAAUUGUGGAUUGGACGGAAAUGAGCCAUUCUCCGGCGAAUUCCCGGCGGCGAAGACUGAGAACUCUCGGGCGAAUUCUCCGGCGGACGCUCUGUCAAUCAGAGGAGAAGAGUAGUAGGUCUUGUUGUGAGUAUCUGGUAGGGAAAGUUUAGCUGAACCCAUUUCGUCAGAAUGUACUAAAAGGUCCAAAGCUUGAUUUGGUGGCAGUUCAAGUAAAGCAGUAAAAGAAUUUCCAGCAGCUUCCAUUGGUACUGGCAUUAUUAUGCUCUGGCUAAUUUGAUGAAACCCAGUUGCCGUUUCUCCUGCUUUGCCUCCGCAACUUGCGGAUCUAACUUGGGUUGACUCCAUUUUACAGCUUUUUGCGGCAAAUUUUCAAAAUAAGUAUGCACCAAU